ensembl:lncRNA
AUGUUAGAAGACAGCUCAGGAGAAAGCGAGAAUGAACCUGAGGGACAAGACAGAUCAGGAGAAAGAGAGGACGAACCUGAGGGACAAGACAGAUCAGGAGAAAGAGAGGACGAACCUGAGGGACAAGACAGAUCAGGAGAAAGAGAGGACGAACCUGAGGGACAAGACAGAUCAGGAGAAAGAGAGGACGAACCUGAGGGACAAGACAGAUCAGGAGGAAGAGAGAACGAACCUGAGGGAGAAGACAGCUCAGGAGAAAGAGAGGACGAACCUGAGGGAGAAGACAGCUCAGGAGGAAGCAAACAAAAUGAAGGAAUUCAGGAAGAAAGCAGCUCGGGACUUAACCAAGUUCAAGAUACCUGGUCACAUCAGAUGAACUACAGAGGAGGUGCUCUCCUCCAGAGAGUUACUCAGCAAACACUGUUGUGGCUUAUCUACGGAAGGCCAAGGGACAAAAAAAGAAAAUCACAGAGAAGUUGGCAGAGUUGGAGGUGAACCCCUCAAAGCGCACAAAGUUAACUUCACAGUGCUCCAAACUUUGUGAAGAUGAAUGCAAGGAUCUGGCUGGGGACAUAAUGUUCCUUGCCGCAAAAUUCAUCCCCCAGAAAAGGGUGGGUGAAGCCUUGCUUGAAGAAGGGAAUGUCCAUGCAGCUAUGGUCAAAACCGAAGACUGCAGGUAAUUUAAUAACAAUUUACUACUACACUUGAUGUUAAAGGGAUAGUUCACCAAAAAAUAAAAAUUCUGUAAUUAAUUACUCA